rnacentral:lncRNA from 1 species
UGAUUCAAGGAGUCUAUGAGAUAUUAAAUUUAAGUGCUAAUUUAUUUCAUAUUAAAUCUGAUUUAGUUAGACUUAAUUGAGUUUAUAAAUUCAAAUUAAACUUAAUCCUAAAUCCUAAACAGUUUGGAAUUGACAGCUUAUUCGAAAUUGAUUCGAAUCAUAUUUGAAUUAAAUUCGAAUUGAUCCAUAUUUGGAUUAGAUCCUUAGAGUCCAAUUUUAUUGAGAUUCUCUCUCCUC